CCAUGGGAGUGUUCUGUACCAUGUAGGAUUGAGCCCCUGGGUGCACAUCACUCGCCACUUACAAUCUGUGACCACACAAAUAUGAAGAAAAAAUCCCCAGCAUUUGGAAGGCAAGGUUUCCUAGGCAAUUAGGAAGGGGGAUUCCCCAAAUAACAGAUACUUGCAAGAAACGGAAAAAGUGAGGAAAAAGAACAGGAGAAGAUGAAUGCAUAGAAAAUGGAAGAAAAGACAACCCAGCAGGAGGAAAGAAUACAGAGACAAAAGAAGACGACUAAGAAAUAAGAGACUGACUGCCAUGGAACAGUGGAACAUCAGUGGAAAGCACAUGGUUUUCAGAGACACAACAUAGCUUAUUCUGUACA